CGGUAAUUCCAGCUCCAAUAGCGUAUAUUAAAAUUGUUGCAGUUAAAAAGCUCGUAGUUGAAUUUUUGUUAAAAAUAACCGGUCUGCUUUUAUUAUUAGUAAAAGUGGUAUCUUGGUGUGUUUUUAGCAAUAAUGUCCUUUUGAGAUGUUUUUUACUUACUUUAUUGUAAUAAAUAAUGUUGAGGAUUUUUACUUUGAGAAAAUUAGAGUGUUUCUAGCAGGCUAACGCUUUGAAUACUGCAGCAUGGAAUAAUAAGAUAGGAUUUUGGUUCUACAUUAUUGGUUUUAAGAACUAAAUUAAUGAUUGAUAGGGACAGUUGGGGGCAUUUGUAUUUAACUGUCAGAGGUGAAAUUCUUA
rnacentral:rRNA from 1 species